rnacentral:rRNA from 1 species
UACGUAGGGUGCGAGCGUUAAUCGGAAUUACUGGGCGUAAAGCGUGCGCAGGCGGUUGGUUAAGUCUGAUGUGAAAGCCCCGGGCUCAACCUGGGAAUGGCGGUGGAAACUGGCGAGCUAGAGUGUGUCAGAGGGGGGUGGAAUUCCACGUGUAGCAGUGAAAUGCGUAGAGAUGUGGAGGAACACCAAUGGCGAAGGCAGCCCCCCUGGGAUAACACUGACGCUCAGGCACGAAAGCGUGGGGAGCAAACAGG